AUGGAAUGAAAAAUGUUUUUCGAGAGUGGUUUUUACUCUAGCUUGUGUUGGCUAGAUGUGACAAUAACUCUCAUGAAUUGUUAUUGUUAAGCUUGUGAACCAAGCUUUGUAAACUUUAAAUGAAAUUUGAAGUUUACUUGUAAAAUGAAAUUUUAUUUACCGCAUUUAAAUUUUACGCUUUCCGCAUUUAAAUUGCUGUCGAUAUUUCCUGC
rnacentral:lncRNA from 1 species